rnacentral:rRNA from 1 species
UCCAGACUCCUACGGGAGGCAGCAGUGAGGAAUAUUGGUCAAUGGGCUUACGCCUGAACCAGCCAAGUCGCGUGAGGGAAGACUGCCCUAUGGGUUGUAAACCUCUUUUGUCAGGGAGCAACGCCGGCUACGUGUAGCCGGACUGAGAGUGCCUGAAGAAAAAGCAUCGGCUAACUCCGUGCCAGCAGCCGCGGUAAUACGGAGGAUGCGAGCGUUAUCCGGAUUUAUUGGGUUUAAAGGGUGCGUAGGCGGAAUGCCAAGUCAGGGGUAAAAUCGCGGGGCUCAACCUCGCUCCGCCGUUGAAACUGGCGUUCUUGAGUGGGCGAGAAGUAUGCGGAAUGCGUGGUGUAGCGGUGAAAUGCAUAGAUAUCAGGAGGAACAUCGGUGGCGUAAGCGCUUUACUGGGCCGUAAUUGACGCUGAGGAACGAAAGCCAGGGUAGCAAAUGGGAUUAGAUACCCGCGUAUC